UACGUAGGGGGCUAGCGUUGUUCGGAAUCACUGGGCGUAAAGCGCACGUAGGCGGAUGUGUCAGUCAGGGGUGAAAUCCCGGAGCUCAACUUCGGAACUGCCUCUGAUACAGCACGUCUUGAGUCCGAUAGAGGUGGGUGGAAUUCCUAGUGUAGAGGUGAAAUUCGUAGAUAUUAGGAAGAACACCGGUGGCGAAGGCGGCCCACUGGAUCGGUACUGACGCUGAGGUGCGAAAGCGUGGGGAGCAAACAGG
rnacentral:rRNA from 1 species